UACGAAGGGGGCGAGCGUUGUUCGGAUUUACUGGGCGUAAAGGGCGCGCAGGCGGCUUUGUUUGUCAGGCGUGAAAGCCCCGGGCUUAACCUGGGAACUGCGUUUGAUACGGCAGGGCUAGAGUUCGGGAGAGGAGAGUGGAAUUCCCAGUGUAGAGGUGAAAUUCGUAGAUAUUGGGAAGAACACCGGUGGCGAAGGCGGCUCUCUGGGACGGUACUGACGCUGAGACGCGAAAGCGUGGGGAGCGAACAGG
rnacentral:rRNA from 1 species